rnacentral:rRNA from 1 species
AAAUUGAAGAGUUUGAUCAUGGCUCAGAUUGAACGCUGGCGGCAGGCCUAACACAUGCAAGUCGAACGGUAACAGGAAGCAGCUUGCUGCUUUGCUGACGAGUGGCGGACGGGUGAGUAAUGUCUGGGAAACUGCCUGAUGGAGGGGGAUAACUACUGGAAACGGUAGCUAAUACCGCAUAACGUCGCAAGACCAAAGAGGG